AGAGGUGGCAAGCGUUGUUCGGAAUUACUGGGCUUAAAGGGCGCGUAGGUGGUGGCAUAAGUCCGAGGUGGAAGGCUAAGGCUUAACCUUAGAAUUGCCUUGGAAACUGUAUCACUUGAGUCAGCGAGGGGAUGGCGGAAUUCCAGGUGUAGCGGUGAAAUGCGUAGAUAUCUGGAGGAAGGCCGGUGGCGAAGGCGGCCAUCUGGCGCUGAACUGACACUGAGGCGCGAAAGCGUGGGGAGCAAACAGGAUUAGAUACCCUGGUAGUCCACGCCCUAAACGAUGGGUACUAGGUGUAGGGCUCGCAAGGGUUCUGUGCCGUAGGGAAACCAUUAAGUACCCCGCCUGGGGAGUACGGCCGCAAGGUUG
rnacentral:rRNA from 1 species